UGUGUCAGAAACAUGCAAAAAACGGACAAAUCAGAUUUGGCAGGGUCUGUGUUUGAAGUAUUGUUCAGCCAUAACCGCUCUUUGGUUGUUUUUUGUUUUUUUUUUUUUUGUAAUUUAUCAAAUUGUGUGUGUGUAAAGUCACCCUCAUGAUUUUUUGCAAAAAAAUGCCAUGUUUUAGUUAUUUCUUUUUCCUCUGGUCACGUGUCGACACUAAAGCACACAAUCGCUUUGUCAAUCGCCUUGACGUGGCCUCCCUGCCGACCUGCUCAUGCGUGCGUCGGAGUGAAGGAUGCGGACCCAUAUCGGACGAUCUCACUCUGAGCCGGCAGGCUCGAUCCAGUGAGUCGGGUCUUCCUCCUUGCUCGCUUUUUUUUAACGAUAUCAGGGUUCUCCAUCAUGAAGCAGGAUUCCUGAGGUUAGCUCUGAGUUCAAUCAAACUGGUUCCAGGUCAGGAGUGUCAACUUAAAAUUGCACUAAUCGACAUCAACUUCACUGUUUUCGUUCCUCGUCAGUCUUCUUGUUUUGCCUGGUUUCAGAGCUGUCCUGCAUGCGGCCCGUUUAAGAGAGCUGAAUAAAUGCAGCUGGUUUGUGUAGCAGACGCUUCCUUCAUAGAUUUCUUCAUGUCAGACGAUAUCGACACAUUGGAUUUAAAGGCAUGCAGUGGUCAAGUAAUAAAUUAAUCCAGUUGUUUCCCCACUUUUUUCCCCCUGUGGUGGCAGUAAGAAAAAAAAAAGUCUAAAAUGAUUUUCUGUUUGAAUCGUUCACAGCUGAAUUGGAAACGGGAGAUUUUUUGAGGCUGGAUUUGUGUUUUGGUAAAUUAACCCUGUAUUUGAUAAGUGACUGUCUUUGGUAAAUAGCGUAUUGCUUCCAGCUUAUUCCAAACUGACCAAACUGUUAAUGAUAGUCAGAGAAAACAUGAAUCAAUAAGUCUAGCUUGUGUACAUUUUCUUGAAAAAUUCAAUAUAUUACCAGGAUUUAAAGUGACUUACCUCUUUGCAAGUGAGAUAUAAUUGUUGGAUGUUAGUGUGCAAUUGUUGGUGGCAAGUGUGUUGAUCCUUAAACAAAUUCAUCUUAUUUAAAUAACUUUUAGCUAUACAAGCAUUUUAAAACGUGUCCUAUUAUUAACUAGUAAUGAUUAAUGAAAACAAAUUGUGACUAAUAUCAUUUUUGCCAAAAGACCCCAAAGGUGAAUUAUGUAAAGCCAACAAUCCUGCUUCAUGAUAAAGGUGACUUUAUUUUGUAAUACAUUUUUCAUUUAUGCAAAGCACAUCUCAUUUAAUGUAAUGUAUCUUUGAUUCCGCCAGCAAAAACAAAAGGGUAUGAUUAAAAGGAGGGCAUAUAUACAGUCAGCUUUUCCAGCUCUGCACACCUUUUUAUAUUAAAAAGAAAAAGUCAUCCAGUUACUGAGACUGUGAGAUCUACAUCCAGAAUUAGAACCAAGCCACUGGGUUUGAGGUUGCUCGGCUGUGGCGAUUGUAUGGGUCACACUCAGGGGAUUAUAUUAGAUACAAGACAACAUGUAGCAUUGUAAAGUCUCACUGUCAGGUAUCUUUCAGCGUCACACCAGGGUGUCGAGUACAGUGUAUAGAUCACACAUUACUUGAAUCAAUGCAAAAUAAUGCAUUGGAAGUCUGUCAAAUGAAAAAAAAAAUAUCCCCAAGGAAAGGCUGUAUUUCCCCUCUGCGGUGGUCCUGCUGAGGCAGAGGAGAAAGGACGAGAAGCGUGGACCCUCCACCACUGACAGAGUGUUGGUUUGAAUGUCAAGAAGACUCAAAAACUCACCUAAAUACCCCGAGUUUAAGUAUUGGCUCAUCUGUCAAUUUUCUAUAAUUUUUUUUUGAGUGUGUGUGGUCCGUUCUGUAUAAAUCCAAGCAUAAGGCUGUAUGCAUAUAUUUGUGAGGGUGUGUGUGUGUGUGUGUGUGUGUGUGUGUGUGUGUGUGUGUGUGUGUGUACAUGCAAGAGAGCGAUAGAUAUAUGUAUGUGAAUUAUGAGCAGAUGUAUGUACAGUAAUAACCAAUAAACAAGGCUAUGGGCAUCAUCCUCUA